UCAUUUUCACAUGUCAGCAGUUUAGUUAUCAAUGGCAAGUAAAUUAGACACAAAUCUAGCUAUAUCAUUAAUUAUACUGAUCUUUUUAUGCAUAGGAGUGUUGCUUUCAAUGAUACUUUAUUACAUCUCACCAUGUAGAAGCGAAUCUGAGGAGGAUUUUGUCAUAAAACAGUAUGAUAAAGAUCAAGUCCUAGCAAGAAUAAAUGGCGUAAUAUCUGAAGGUAGAUGGAGAUAGACCGAUGGCUAUACACAUUUUUCAAAGUUGUUGCUGUAUUUAGGUUGUUCUAGAUAAUAAACGAUCACUUUCUUCA
rnacentral:lncRNA from 1 species